UUGUGGGGAACACAAGUCCCCAGGCCCAGGCCAGACUGCCUACAACCCUCUGAUGGAUGAGUGCCCGAGUGCCCUGAGUGCCCUGAGUGCCCCGUGGCCUAGAACUGGGAGAAGCAUUGCUAGGGAACUCCUGGCUGCUUCAAGUUGGAGCUGAUUUAUCCAAAGGGAAAUAGGCCACACUUGCCAAGACAUCAGGAUGACCACGGAAGGCUCCUGGGUAGCUCGUAGAUGCUGCUAUCCACCUGUUCAUCUACCACAGCCAGCGCUCUCUGCUCUUCCAUGCUGCCUGCUGCUGUGCCUGGAGAGGCAGCAGAAGAUGGCCCAAGGGCUUGGGUCCCUGCCACCCAUGGGAGAGGCCCAGAGGGAAUUCUGGCACCUGCCUUCAGUCUGGCCCAGCCUUGGCUCCUGUGGGUAUUUGGGGAAUGAAUCAGCAGAUAGAAGAUCUCUCUCUGUCUUUCACUCUUUAUCACUCUGUCUUUCAAAACAAAUCUUUUCUGACACAAGCAAGCAUCAAGUGCUAUGAAUAAUUCUAAUUGAGAUGAUUAUAAGACCUAUGGAGCCAACAGCCCAACUGCAGAGUGGAGGACUGCACGAGGCAGGCUUCCUGAGGGUCCCCCUUCCUCCCCCACUGCCUGCCGUCUCCUUCAGGCACUGCCGACUUCGAGUUCACGAAGACUGUUUACUUAGUUUAAGAAACAGUCCUGUCAUUAUAUAUGCAUCCCUAAAUAAUAAAGCUGAGUCUCGCCUGUCUGUGAA